AACGGUCUAUACCUGCGGUACCUGCGGAAGGAUCAUUACCGAGUGAGGACCUAACCGGUCCAACCUCCCACCCGUGUCUACCGUACCUUGUUGCUUCGGCGGGCCCGCCAUUCGUGGCCGCCGGGGGGCAUCUCGCCCCCGGGCCCGCGCCCGCCGGAGACACCAACACGAACACUGUCUGAAGGUCGCAGUCUGAGUCGAUUUAUUUAAUCGUUAAAACUUUUAACAAUGGAUCUCUAG
rnacentral:misc_RNA from 1 species